GUUGGCAUGGUCGUAUCCGCAUUGGAAAUACCAUAUGUGAGGCGAAUGGCAAUCAUAAUAUGAAUAACCUUGGAAUUCCCGCCAGGCAACCUCAAGGCCGUUCGGUUAGAGUCCUGCCACCAAGAUAAGACAUGUCGGUAACUAUGCUCAUUUAAUAUAUGUGUAGUCAUACACACAGAAUGG